rnacentral:tRNA from 1 species
GCCUAAAUAGCUCAGUUGGUAGAGCAACGCAUUCGUAACGCGUAGGUCGUCAGUUCAAUUCUGGCUUUAGGCA